AUAUGAUUCAGUAGCUCACUAAAGCUGCUUUUCUUAACAGUGGCAGGCAUGAGUCCUCUCUCUCCAUAGCUUAAUGUGGACCCCAGGUAUCUCACUCAUACAGGAUCCCGAAUAUGGUGACCCGCCAAGGUGCCACAUGGGCAAACACUUUGGGUUCAAUAGCUCUGCUGUACAGUGCAUUUGGGGUGAUCUUUGAGAAAGCCAGAGGGGCAGAGGACGACCUCAACACCAUUGCUGCAGGAACUCUGACUGGUGUCCUCUACAAAUC